rnacentral:lncRNA from 1 species
GAAGUGUCAACUUGGGAGCAGAAAGGGACCCUGACCCCGCCGGCCUCCCUGGGCUGGGCUCCAACCCUGCCGGCCUUGCUGACGUGCGCCCUCCGACUCCCUCCGACUCCCGCUGAUACCUUCUGACAUCCUCUGACGCCCUCCGCUGCCCUCUGUCUCCCUCCGACGCCCUCUGAUGCCCUCCGACUCCCGCUGACGCCCUCUGACAUCCUCUGACGCCCUCUGACACCCUCCGAUGCCCUUUGACGCCCUCCGACGCCCUCGGUCUCCCUCCGACGCCCUCUGACUCCCACUGACGCCCUCUGACACCCUCCGACUCCCACUGAUGCCCUCUGACUCCCGCUGACACCCUCUGACACGUGCCCUCUGACUCCUGCCGGACCUCAGGGAACGCAGCUGUUGUUCUUCGGAGCCGGCUGAAGGUCAGGGUGGUGAAGGAGCUCCGGGGAAGACCGCGGUGCACAACGGGCUGGGUGAGAAUGGCUCACGGGCUGCAGGCCUGGACAUGGAUGUCGGGAAGCAGGCCAUGCAGUACCAGGUCCUGAAUGAGGUGGUGAUUGACAGAGGCCCCUCCUCCUACCUGUCCAACGUGGACGUCUACCUGGAUGGACACCUCAUCACCACGGUGCAGGGCGACGGAGUGAUCGUGUCCACCCCGACGGGCAGCACGGCGUAUGCGGCCGCGGCCGGGGCCUCCAUGAUCCACCCCAACGUGCCGGCCAUCAUGAUCACGCCCAUCUGCCCCACUCGCUGUCCUUCCGGCCCAUCGUGGUCCCCGCAGGGGUCGAGCUGAAGGUCAGAGCCAACGACGCUCCUUUUCCGGUUUGUGAGUCAUUUGACCCCAUGCAGCACAAAGCCCGGACCUAGCGCUCGGCUCUGCCGUGCUGGCUUCAGCCUCAGACAUGGCCUCACCAUCCUAGGGCCGUCCGUGCCCUCAGAUGCAAGCCUGCCUUGCUGGUGCCCGAGAUCUGUCCACCAGGUGCCCGGGGCCCGGGUCUGAGGGG